rnacentral:rRNA from 1 species
AGUGAACGCUGGCGGUAGGCCUAACACAUGCAAGUCGAACGGCAGCACAGUAAGAGCUUGCUCUUACGGGUGGCGAGUGGCGGACGGGUGAGGAAUACAUCGGAAUCUACUUUUUCGUGGGGGAUAACGUAGGGAAACUUACGCUAAUACCGCAUACGACCUACGGGUGAAAGCAGGGGAUCUUCGGACCUUGCGCGAUUGAAUGAGCCGAUGUCGGAUUAGCUAGUUGGCGGGGUAAAGGCCCACCAAGGCGACGAUCCGUAGCUGGUCUGAGAGGAUGAUCAGCCACACUGGAACUGAGACACGGUCCAGACUCCUACGGGAGGCAGCAGUGGGGAAUAUUGGACAAUGGGCGCAAGCCUGAUCCAGCCAUACCGCGUGGGUGAAGAAGGCCUUCGGGUUGUAAAGCCCUUUUGUUGGGAAAGAGAAGCAGCAGGUUAAUACCCCGCUGUUCUGACGGUACCCAAAGAGUAAGCACCGGCUAACUUCGUGC